rnacentral:rRNA from 1 species
AUUGAACGCUGGCGGCAUGCCUUACACAUGCAAGUCGAACGGUAACAGGUCUUCGGAUGCUGACGAGUGGCGAACGGGUGAGUAAUGCAUCGGAACGUGCCCAGUAGUGGGGGAUAACUACUCGAAAGAGCGGCUAAUACCGCAUGAGAUCUACGGAUGAAAGCAGGGGAUCGCAAGACCUUGUGCUACUAGAGCGGCCGAUGGCAGAUUAGGUAGUUGGUGGGAUAAAAGCUUACCAAGCCGACGAUCUGUAGCUGGUCUGAGAGGACGAUCAGCCACCCUGGGACUGGGACACGGCCCAGACUCCUACGGGGGACAGCAGUGGGGAAUUUUGGACAAUGGGCGCAAGCCUGAUCCAGCAAUGCCGCGUGCAGGAUGAAGGCCUUCGGGUUGUAAACUGCUUUUGUACGGAACGAAAAGCCCUGGGUUAAUACCCUGGGGUCAUGACGGUACCGUAAGAAUAAGCACCGGCUAACUACGUGCCAGCAGCCGCCGUAACAC